rnacentral:rRNA from 1 species
UUUUGGAGCGCGGCUUACCUGCAGUCGACGAGAAAGGGAUUGCUUGCAAUCCUGAGUAGAGUGGCGCACGGGUGAGUAACACGUAGAUAAUCUACCUUCAAGCCUGGAAUAACUGUUCGAAAGAACAGCUAAUACCGGAUAAAGUUAAUUUGCGUAAGCAGGUUAAUGAAAGAUUGCCUAUCCUUGGAAGCAAUUGUUUGGAGAUGAGUCUGCGGACCAUUAGUUUGUUGGUGGGGUAACGGCCUACCAAGACCGCGAUGGUUAGCUGGUCUGAGAGGAUGAUCAGCCACACUGGAACUGGAACACGGUCCAGACUCCUACGGGAGGCAGCAGUGAGGAAUUUUGCGCAAUGGGGGUAACCCUGACGCAGCAACGCCGCGUGAGUGAAGAAGGCCUUUGGGUCGUAAAGCUCUGUCGACAGGGAAGAAAUUAGAGUUUUCUAACAGGAGAUUCUAUUGACGGUACCUGUAGAGGAAGCACCGGCUAACUCCGUGCCAGCAGCCGCGGUAACACGGGGGGUGCAAGCGUUAUUCGGAAUUAUUGGGCGUAAAGGGCGCGCAGGCGGUCUUGUCGGUCAGAUGUGAAAGCCCGGGGCUCAACCCUGGAAGUGCAUUUGAAACAGCAAGACUUGAGUACGGGAGAGGAGAGCGGAAUUCCUGGUGUAGAGGUGAAAUUCGUAGAUAUCAGGAGGAACACCGAUGGCGAAGGCAGCUCUCUGGACCGAUACUGACGCUGAGGCGCGAAGGCGUGGGUAGCGAACAGGAUUAGAUACCCUGGUAGUCCACGCAGUAAACGUUGUUCACUCGGUGUGCCGGAUAUUAAAAUCUGGUGUGCCUAAGCUAACGCAUUAAGU